GAAAGAAAGACAUGGACAUCUUGGAUGACAUAGGGAGACCUCUUUGACACAUGCAGUGCUGUUGGAUGUCAGGAAUCAGGCAGCAGGCAAGAAGUAUGCUGUUCUACUUAAGCUGAGGCAGCCUGUGGUGGUGUUUGCCAUUUGAUGUGGCUCCUCUGUUGAAGUGACAGAGAGGAGAAUUCUCUUUCCCUGCAGGAGCAUCAGACUCUGUAUGCAUGGAGGAAAGCUCCAGCUGAGAUGCCAGCUUUUUGUAAAGAAAGCUUAGAAAGGAACACAUGCAGAAGGAAAGAGAUGAGCGAGACAGGUUUCCAUUUCAGAGAUGCAAAUGUAGACAGUGUGUUAAGGUUGCAGAAUGGGAAGAAGACUUUGAAACUCCUCUUAAAGGCAGUAGGAAAGGUGUGUUUAUUUUAGAAUGGAAGCCAUUCUGUUGAGUGACCUAGAGGUUGGGCACACAUGAUGUGAAGACACAAGAGGAUGUGGAGCACAAAAUUGUGUUUUUAUGAUGGUGUGAAAAAUGUACAAAAUACACUCUCAAUUUAUAACUUUAUACAAUUUGGUGAAUUGGCAGAUAAAAUAUUUUGUAUGUUUUUACAUGAUCUGCAUACGCCCCACUGACAGUUAUGUUUAGGGAUUAUAGGUGGACCUUCAUGCUUAUUUUUUUUUUUAAACAUUGGAAUGGAAAAAUAUUCACAGUGUAUAUUGAAAAAAGUAACAAAAAAAUAAA